rnacentral:lncRNA from 1 species
CUUGAAGUCAGGUUAUCACCAAAUAAGGAUUCGGAAGGAGGAUGUACACAAAACAGCUUUCAGGACUCACGAAGGACAUUAUGAGUUUCUAGUCAUGCCGUUCGGCCUCACUAAUGCCCCAGCAACAUUUCAGUCACACAUGAAUCAAGUAUUCAGAAAUUAUAUGAGGAAAUUUGUUUUGGUUUUCUUUGAUGACAUCUUGGUGUACAGCAAGGAUGCAUUGUCACACGAGCAACACCUGAAUAUGGUAUUUACUGCAUUAGAAAGGCACCAGCUGUGCGCAAACAAGAGGAAAUAUCUCUUCGCCCAGCCCAGAUAUAAUACUUAGGCUACUUGGUCUCACGGAAGGGGUUUCGGCUAACCCAAACAAAAUUUCAUCCAUGGUUAACUGGCCAACUCCUCGAAGUCUGCGAGAGCUCCGAGGAUUCUUGGGGCUAACGGGAUAUUACCGAAGGUUUGUGCUAUGGCGCCAUCUCCUGGCCAUUGACAUAACAAUUGAAAAAAUGAUUCUUUUGGCUGGAACGAGGAAGCAGAGGUAGCAUUUCAACGAUUAAAACAAGCUAUGACAACGGUUCCUGUGUUAGCCUUUCCGAAUUUCUCGAAACCUUUCAUCAUUGAGACAGAUGCUUCAGGUUUCGGACUAGGUGCAGUCCUCAUGCAGAACUAGCAGCCCACUGCAUUCCACAGUCAAGUGUUGUCGGCAAGGUCUCAACAGAAGUCCAUAUAUGAGAGGGAAUUGAUGGCUAUUGUGUUGGCAAUUAAAAAAUAGAGACAUUAUGUGUUGGGAAGAAAGUUCAUUGUUCGCACAGACUAGCACAGCCUCAAAUACCUCCUAGAACAAAGGGUAAUUCCGGGGGAUUUUCAGCGUUGGGUAACUAAGCUGAUGGGGUUUGACUUUGAGGUUCAAUGUCACCCCAGAUUGGAAAAUAAAGCAGUUGAUGCAUUAUCACGCCUUCCCUGCCUUGUUGAACUAGGGGCACUCAUUUUCACUAAAUUACUUGAUACACAGUUGAUUGAAGCCGAAGUGGAAAAAGAUCCUGUGCUGUCCAAAAUCAAGAAAAGUUUGCAAGAGGAUCCGGGUGCUUACCCACGAUACUCAAUCAUACAGAGAAGAUUGUUGUACAAGGGAUGAUUGGUAAUACCUCGCUCUUCAACAUUAAUUCCAUCACCACUGCAUGAGUUCCACAGUAUCACAGUGGGAGGCCACUCCGAGUUCCUUCGCACUUAUAAAAUAUUGAACAGGAAUUUGCACUGGACCGGAUGAAGGCAGAUGUAAAAAGAUUUGUAGCAGAAUGUCCAGUUUGUCAACAAAACAAGGUUAAUUCUCUUUGCCCUGCCGGGUUACUACAACCUCUACCAAUUCCCCAUCUCAUUUGGGAUGACAUUUCAAUGGAUUUUGUAAAAGACUACCUAAGUCGUCUGGAUACAAUGCAAUUUUGAUAUUGAUGGAUCGUUUAAGUAAGUACGCACAUUUUGUGCCACUUAAACACCCUUUUACAGCAUCAGGUGUCGCGACAAUUUUUGUAAAGGAAAUAGUGCGACUUCAUGGAAUUCCCAGCUCCAUUAUUUCAGAUAGGGAUAAGGUAUUCCUAAGCCAUUUUUGGACUGAACUAUUUCGGCUGCAAGGGACCUUCCUCCGUCGAAGUACGGCCUAUCACCCUCAAACCGAUGGGCAGACUAAAGUAAUUAAUAGAUGCCUAGAAACCUAUCUUCGUUGCUUCUCUUUUGAUCAGCCCAAAAAGUGGUGUUUAUGGCAUCCAUGGGCUGAGUACUAGUAUAAUACCAC